CUGCAUGGUUCGAAAUUGAAAGGCGGCUUCGGCUGUCACUUAUGGAUGGACCCGCGUCGCAUUAGCUAGUUGGUGAGGUAACGGCUCACCAAGGCAACGAUGCGUAGCCGACCUGAGAGGGUGAUCGGCCACACUGGGACUGAGACACGGCCCAGACUCCUACGGGAGGCAGCAGUAGGGAAUCUUCCGCAAUGGACGAAAGUCUGACGGAGCAACGCCGCGUGAGUGAUGAAGGCUUUCGGGUCGUAAAACUCUGUUGUUAGGGAAGAACAAGUGCUAGUUGAAUAAGCUGGCACCUUGACGGUACCUAACCAGAAAGCCACGGCUAACUACGUGCCAGCAGCCGCGGUAAUACGUAGGUGGCAAGCGUUAUCCGGAAUUAUUGGGCGUAAAGCGCGCGCAGGUGGUUUCUUAAGUCUGAUGUG
rnacentral:rRNA from 2 species